rnacentral:rRNA from 1 species
CAGCAGCCGCGGUAAUACGGAGGGAGCUAGCGUUGUUCGGAAUUACUGGGCGUAAAGCGCGCGUAGGCGGUUACUCAAGUCAGAGGUGAAAGCCCGGGGCUCAACCCCGGAACUGCCUUUGAAACUAGGUGACUAGAAUCUUGGAGAGGUCAGUGGAAUUCCGAGUGUAGAGGUGAAAUUCGUAGAUAUUCGGAAGAACACCAGUGGCGAAGGCGACUGACUGGACAAGUAUUGACGCUGAGGUGCGAAAGCGUGGGGAGCAAACAGGAUUAGAGACCCCAGUAGUCCCUGUCUCUUAUAC